UCUAAUGAAGAAGAGAAACAAGGGGGAAUUGAGUAUUGGGAAGGACCUCUGAGGUCUUUGUAUGCAGCUCAUUCAACCUGCAGGCUUGAACAUAGCCGUGGUAGUGACCUGCCCUGGAUCUUGUGCACAAGGGUACCCGUCCCCCUACACAGGGAUGGGGAGCAGCAAGGAGGCUGAGUAGCUGACUUCGGCUGUCCUGUGAAGGGAAUAACAUCCCUAUGUCUUACGGGACCUUCCUGACAUAGGAAUCGAAACUGAGUCUCUUGUGUCUCCUGUACUGGCUGGCAGACUCUCAACCCCUGGGCCACCUAGGAAGCCCAAGGUGUUCACCCUGUAUCCCAGCUGAUACCAGCAGGCUACUGUUACAGCUGUUUCACAGAUGAGAAACCAGUGCUCAAGCAGAAUGACUUCCAUGCAAUCGCAGCCAAGGAUGGACCAGAGCUGCCUGGCUCCUCGCCUACUUUCUUUCCCGUAUACCGUUCUGUCCCAGAUAAACUUCAGGUGAUGUGUGCACGUCUGUGACUCUGUUCACAUGUGUGUUGUGUGUGUGUACAUCAAUUGAGAUUCUUUGUUGAAUCAAUU